rnacentral:rRNA from 1 species
UGACGGUACCCUACUAGAAAGGAGCCGCUAACUUCGUGCCAGAAGCGUCGGUAAUACGGGGGCUCCAAGCGUUAUCCGGUGUUAUUGGGCGUAAAGAGUCGUGUAGGUGCUUGGGUAAGUUAUCUUUCAAAGAUCUUUGCUUAACAAAGAGGAGGGGGAUAAUACUGCUCGACUAGAAUUUUCUCAAGGGAGAUCGGAACUGAGGGAGGAGUAGUGAAAUGCGUUGAUACCCUCGGGAACACCAGUGGCGUAGGCGGAUCUCUGGGAGAAGAUUGACACUGAGACACGAAAGCUAGGGGAGCGAAGCAGAUUAGAGACCUGCGUAGUCCUAGCCGUAAACGCAUGCUUGCUAGCUGCAUGAAUCUACCUUCGGGUGGUAUCGUGUGGCGAAGGUAACCCGUUAAGCAAGCCGCCCGGAAAGUACGGCCGCAAGGCUGAAAUUCAAAGGAAUUGGCGGGGAGGCACACAACCAGUGGAACAUGUGGUUUAAUUCGAGACUAACCGAAGAACCUCACCAGGGUUUGACAUGUAGCUGCACGUCUUAAGAAAUUAAGACUCUCUUGAAGGUGCUACACAGGUGCUGCAUGGCUGUCGUCAGCUCGUUCCGUGAGGAGUGCCCUUAAGUGGGACAACGAGCGCAACCCCUAUUACAUGUUAGAAAUGUCAUGUAAGACUGCCUUGCCAUUUGGCGGGGAGGAAGGAGGGGCAGACGUCAAGUCCGCAUGGUCCUUAUGCCCUGGGCUACACACAUGUUACAAUGAGUACGGCAAUGAGUCUGUCGCGAGCACGUAAGUGUAAGCUAAUCUCUUAAAUGUACUCUCAGUGGGGAUUGAGGUCUGCAACUCGACCUCACGAACACGGAAUUGGUAGUAAUCGCGGGUCAGCUAUACCGCGGUGAUACGUUCUUGCCUCUUGCACACACCGCCCGUCAAACCAGCAAAGUCGAUUGUAUCCGAACCU